rnacentral:rRNA from 1 species
AUGAACGCUGGCGGCGUGCCUAAUACAUGCAAGUCGAGCGAACAGACGAGGAGCUUGCUCCUCUGACGUUAGCGGCGGACGGGUGAGUAACACGUGGAUAACCUACCUAUAAGACUGGGAUAACUUCGGGAAACCGGAGCUAAUACCGGAUAAUAUAUUGAACCGCAUGGUUCAAUAGUGAAAGACGGUUUUGCUGUCACUUAUAGAUGGAUCCGCGCCGCAUUAGCUAGUUGGUAAGGUAACGGCUUACCAAGGCAACGAUGCGUAGCCGACCUGAGAGGGUGAUCGGCCACACUGGAACUGAGACACGGUCCAGACUCCUACGGGAGGCAGCAGUAGGGAAUCUUCCGCAAUGGGCGAAAGCUUGACGGAGCAACGCCGCGUGAGUGAUGAAGGACUUCGGAUCGUAAAACUCUGUUAUUAGGGAAGAACAAAUGUGUAAGUAACUAUGCACGUCUUGACGGUACCUAAUCAGAAAGCCACGGCUAACUACGUG